rnacentral:rRNA from 1 species
AGCAGCAGCCGCGGUAAAACGAAGGGUGCAAGCGUUAAUCGGAAUUACUGGGCGUAAAGCGUGCGUAGGCGGUGAGUUAAGUCUGCUGUGAAAUCCCCGGGCUCAACCUGGGAAUGGCAGUGGAUACUGGCUCGCUGGAGUGUGUCAGAGGAUGGUGGAAUUCCCGGUGUAGCGGUGAAAUGCGUAGAGAUCGGGAGGAACAUCAGUGGCGAAGGCGGCCAUCUGGGACAACACUGACGCUGAGGCACGAAAGCGUGGGGAGCAAACAGGAUUAGAUACCUCUGUAGUCCCUGUCUCUUAUAC